rnacentral:rRNA from 1 species
UAGGGAAUCUUCGGCAAUGGGGGGAACCCUGACCGAGCAACGCCGCGUGAGUGAAGAAGGUUUUCGGAUCGUAAAGCUCUGUUGUUAAGGAAGAACGAGUGUGAGAAUGGAAAGUUCAUACUGUGACGGUACUUAACCAGAAAGGGACGGCUAACUACGUGCCAGCAGCCGCGGUAAUACGUAGGUCCCGAGCGUUGUCCGGAUUUAUUGGGCGUAAAGCGAGGGCAGGCGGUUAGAUAAGUCUGAAGUUAAAGGCAGUGGCUCAACCAUUGUAGGCUUUGGAAACUGUUUAACUUGAGUGCAGAAGGGGAGAGUGGAAUUCCAUGUGUAGCGGUGAAAUGCGUAGAUAUAUGGAGGAACACCGGUGGCGAAAGCGGCUCUCUGGUCUGUAACUGACGCUGAGGCUCGAAAGCGUGGGUAGCAAACAGG